AAGCUAAACUCAGAAAUUUGCGU
rnacentral:snRNA from 1 species